GAUGAACGCUGGCGGCGUGUUUAACACAUGCAAGUCGAACGAUGAAGCCCAGCUUGCUGGGUGGAUUAGUGGCGAACGGGUGAGUAACACGUGAGUAACCUGCCCUUAACUCUGGGAUAAGCCUGGGAAACUGGGUCUAAUACCGGAUAGGAGCGUCCACCGCAUGGUGGGUGUUGGAAAGAUUUAUCGGUUUUGGAUGGACUCGCGGCCUAUCAGCUUGUUGGUGAGGUAAUGGCUCACCAAGGCGACGACGGGUAGCCGGCCUGAGAGGGUGACCGGCCACACUGGGACUGAGACACGGCCCAGACUCCUACGGGAGGCAGCAGUGGGGAAUAUUGCACAAUGGGCGCAAGCCUGAUGCAGCGACGCCGCGUGAGGGAUGACGGCCUUCGGGUUGUAAACCUCUUUCAGUAGGGAAGAAGCGAAAGUGACGGUACCUGCAGAAGAAGCACCGGCUAACUACGUG
rnacentral:rRNA from 1 species